AAGUCGUAACAAGGUUUCCGUAGGUGAACCUGCGGAAGGAUCAUUAACACGUAUCCAAACGUUAAACCCCCCUGUGAACCUUCAGUCGUACUCGUACGUCCGUUAGAAAAAGCAGCAAUCCCUGGUACGUCUGCAAGGAGCGUGCAUGUUGUGCGUGUAAGUGGCCUGGCAUCCCCAAGCAGUUAGUGUCUGAAAGUGUCACUAACGUUAGUGUCUGAAAGUGUCACUAACAUGUGUAAGGAUGACGCAGUCACGAUCGUUGGAGGCCCACACGGCCGACGACCGGGUCACCGGGUGCAAGCCCCCUUAUCACACCCCUGCUCUAUCUAUGGUGAUCCUGCGGGAAGUCCUGCGGUCGAACGCCGAAACCGAACAACUGUUAACAAUGGAUAUCUUGGUUCUC
rnacentral:misc_RNA from 1 species